rnacentral:rRNA from 1 species
GUUUGUUUUCUUUUAGAAUAUCCCUAGCCAAUCUUGUCUGAGCUCUGAAAUUAANUAGCACCUGGCCUGAUUAGUAUUUGGAUGGAAGGCCACCUAGGAAUACCUGGAGAAGUAAAAA